rnacentral:rRNA from 1 species
UACGAAGGGGGCUAGCGUUGCUCGGAAUCACUGGGCGUAAAGGGUGCGUAGGCGGGUCUUUAAGUCAGGGGUGAAAUCCUGGAGCUCAACUCCAGAACUGCCUUUGAUACUGGCGAUCUCGAGUUCGGGAGAGGUGAGUGGAACUGCGAGUGUAGAGGUGAAAUUCGUAGAUAUUCGCAAGAACACCAGUGGCGAAGGCGGCUCACUGGCCCGGUACUGACGCUGAGGUGCGAAAGCGUGGGGAGCAAACAGG